CCUAGGUGGAGGAGAAGAAGGAAAUGAAGGUUUGCGAUGGAGGCUAAGAGAGCAAUAUACUGAGAAAUACCAGUAGUAAGAGAAAUACAAUUGAAUGUAGCAAAAAUAUUGCUUCAAAAUUUCUUCUGCUACUCGUAUUUCUCACUAUAUUGCUCAUCGUUGAAGCAGGACAUGGGUGUCGCCUUUCUUGAGCUCCAGCUUCUUGAUUGACUCAGUGCAUUGAACAGAUUUGUGGUUUUAAAUCUUGUUUCUUAAGUCGACCAUUUCAUUGGCAAUACAGCAAGAAAGGAUCGGAGGUGCAAGAGAAGAAAGGAUCGGAGGUGCAAGAGAAUAAUCCACAUCUUUGUGGUGGAUUACAAUGGAUCCGAAAGAAUGGCUGUCGCCGUCCAUUUUCUGAUUUUUUCCCGGUGCUUUUUAGAGGGAGUUUGUGGGUGAGAGAGAAUCCAUUUUGAAAUUGAGAGAGAAGGCGGGCGAAAGUGGUGGAUGAGUUUGAAAAAGAAGUCAUCCCUGAGGAGGAGAAAUUGAGAGGGGUUUUCGAUUCACAGAUUCCAAAGGAGCUGCGGAAACAGAGUGGGUGUCUGUUUCGAUGAUUAACAGUCUCAUUGGGGGGCUCAUGCGUUACCGCAAAUGUCUACUUUCUCACCAAGAAUUGUAUACAUCUCAAAGAGAUUUUAUAUUAUUUGUUACAAUGGGAAUUCAUUAUUUUUAA